rnacentral:rRNA from 1 species
AUGGAGAGACGGAGAAGGCUAGGUGAGCCGGGCGACGGUUGUCCCGGUUUAAGCAUGUAGGCAGUGGGAUUAGGCAAAUCCGGUCCCACAAUGCCGAGACGCGACGACGACUGCCCUUUUAGGGCGGGAAGUCAUUGAUGCCCUGCUUCCAGGAAAAUCUUCUAAGCUUCAGGCUAUUCGAGACCGUACCCCAAACCGACACAGG